rnacentral:miRNA from 1 species
CAGGGUUUCCUCUCUGCUGAAAGGUGAACACUUGACAGGACACCCUGCCUGUGGAAAGGAGCUACCCAC